ACAUGCAGUCGAACGAUGAAGCCCAGCUUGCUGGGUGGAUUAGUGGCGAACGGGUGAGUAACACGUGAGUAACCUGCCCUUAACUCUGGGAUAAGCCUGGGAAACUGGGUCUAAUACCGGAUAGGAGCGUCCACCGCAUGGUGGGUGUUGGAAAGAUUUAUCGGUUUUGGAUGGACUCGCGGCCUAUCAGCUUGUUGGUGAGGUAAUGGCUCACCAAGGCGACGACGGGUAGCCGGCCUGAGAGGGUGACCGGCCACACUGGGACUGAGACACGGCCCAGACUCCUACGGGAGGCAGCAGUGGGGAAUAUUGCACAAUGGGCGAAAGCCUGAUGCAGCGACGCCGCGUGAGGGAUGACGGCCUUCGGGUUGUAAACCUCUUUCAGUAGGGAAGAAGCGAAAGUGACGGUACCUGCAGAAGAAGCACCGGCUAACUACGUGCCAGCAGCCGCGGUAAUACGUAGGGUGCGAGCGUUAUCCGGAAUUAUUGGGCGUAAAGAGCUCGUAGGCGGUUUGUCGCGUCUGUCGUGAAAGUCCGGGGCUUAACCCCGGAUCUGCGGUGGGUACGGGCAGACUAGAGUGCAGUAGGGGAGACUGGAAUUCCUGGUGUAGCGGUGGAAUGCGCAGAUAUCAGGAGGAACACCGAUGGCGAAGGCAGGUCUCUGGGCUGUAACUGACGCUGAGGAGCGAAAGCAUGGGGAGCGAACAGGAUUAGAUACCCUGGUAGUCCAUGCCGUAAACGUUGGGCACUAGGUGUGGGGACCAUUCCACGGUUUCCGCGCCGCAGCUAACGCAUUAAGUGCCCCGCCUGGGGAGUACGGCCGCAAGGCUAAAACUCAAAGGAAUUGACGGGGGCCCGCACAAGCGGCGGAGCAUGCGGAUUAAUUCGAUGCAACGCGAAGAACCUUACCAAGGCUUGACAUGUUCUCGAUCGCCGUAGAGAUACGGUUUCCCCUUUGGGGCGGGUUCACAGGUGGUGCAUGGUUGUCGUCAGCUCGUGUCG
rnacentral:rRNA from 1 species